rnacentral:rRNA from 1 species
GAUGAACGCUGGCGGCGUGCCUAAUACAUGCAAGUCGAGCGAACAGACGAGAGUGCUUGCACUCUCUGACGUUAGCGGCGGACGGGUGAGUAACACGUGGGUAACCUACCUAUAAGACUGGGAUAACUUCGGGAAACCGGAGCUAAUACCGGAUAAUAUUUAGCUUCGCAUGAAGCAAUAGUGAAAGACGGUUCUGCUGUCACUUAUAGAUGGACCCGCGGUGUAUUAGCUAGUUGGUGAGGUAACGGCUCACCAAGGCAACGAUACAUAACCGACCUGAGAGGGUGAUCGGCCACACUGGGACUGAGACACGGCCCAGACUCCUACGGGAGGCAGCAGUAGGGAAUCUUCCGCAAUGGACGAAAGUCUGACGGAGCAAUGCCGCGUGAGUGAAGAAGGUUUUCGGAUCGUAAAACUCUGUUGUAAGGGAAGAACAAGUACGUUAGUAACUGAACGUACCUUGACGGUACCUUACCAGAAAGCCACGGCUAACUACGUG